CCUACGGGAUGCAGCAGUGAGGAAUAUUGGUCCAUGGACGGAAGUCUGAACCAGCCAUGCCGCGUGCAGGAAGACGGCUCUAUGAGUUGUAAACUGCUUUUGUACAAGGGUACACCUGAAUACGUGUAUUCAGCUGAAAGUACUGUACGAAUAAGUAUCGGCUCACUCCGUGCCAGCAGCCGCGGUAAGACGGAGGAUACAAGCGUUAACCGGAUUUAUUGGGUGUAAAGGGUACGUAGGCGGAUUGAUAAGUGAGAGGUGAAAUGUCCGAGCUCAACUCGGGAACUGCCUCUAAUACUGGUGAUCGAGAGAGUAGAUGCGGUAGGCGGAAUGUAUGGUGUAGCGGUGAAAUGCUUAGAGAUCAGACAGAACACCGAUGGCGAAGGCAGCUUACCAAUCUAUAUCUGACGUUGAGGCACGAAAGCGUGGGGAGCAAACAGGAUUAGAUACCCGAGUAGUC
rnacentral:rRNA from 1 species